rnacentral:rRNA from 1 species
CAAUAGCGUAUAUUAAAGUUGUUGCGGUUAAAAAGUUCGUAGUUGGAUUUCUGCCAAGGACGACCGGUCCGCCCUCUGGGUGAGUAUCUGGCUUGGCCUCGGCAUCUUCUUGGAGAACGUUGCUGCACUUCACUGUGUGGCGCGGUAUCCAGGACCUUUACUUUGAGGAAAUUAGAGUGUUUCAAGCAGGCAUCCGCCUUGAAUACAUUAGCAUGGAAUAAUAAGAUAGGACCUCGGUUCUAUUUUGUUGGUUUCUAGAGCUGGGGUAAUGAUUAAUAGGGAUAGUUGGGGGCAUUCGUAUUUAACUGUCAGAGGUGAAAUUCUUGGAUUUGUUAAAGACGGACUACUGCGAANGNAUUUGGNAAGGAUGUUUNCAUUG